rnacentral:lncRNA from 1 species
CUAGGAUCCUAAGUGGCUGACAAGAAGCAGGACUCCUCUGAAACUGGGACAGAUUUCUAUGGAGGAAAGACUGAAAUUGAUUUAACUUGCAUUUUGGAGAAUGGGGCUUCCUGGGGAACACAGAGCAAUGUGUGCAGGAGAGGUGUGGAGAUGGAAAUUGACAGUAAAUGUGUUGUAUUCUUCCUUGAGCUGGGGAAUUGAAGACUCAGAGUGAAAGUAUCCAAAAGGAAGCUCUCAGUAUGUAUGAAGUCGUCAUCUCUGUUCGUGAGUUUGGAAGAAUGAAAAUGCACUAGCACCAUUUGGGUUGGUUAUUGUUUAUGGAUAUGGAAUAAAGAGAAAAAAUAGCUCAUUUUCAAGAGAAUUAUGAUUCCCCAAGACUUGUAUGUAUAUUUGUAUAUGUGUACUCAAAAAAUCACUACUAAUUUCUCACUUAGCUUUAGUUUAUU